ensembl:lncRNA
UGUCAGGUAAAAACUGUAUCUGAUCAAUCUUAUGUUUGACUUUGAUAAUAUAGCCUUUAUGAUAUGCAGCAAAAUUACCUGAUGAUGCUGGUACAGUCAUAGGCCCUUCAAAUCACAACCUCUGCAGAUUUUUUAUUUGAUUUAUUUCACCUUUAUUUAACUAGGCAAGUCAGUUAAGAACAAAUUCUUAUUUACAAUGACGGCCUAUCCCGGCCAAACCCAGACGACGCUGGGCCAAUUGUGCGCCGCCCUAUGGGACUCCCAAUCACAGCCGGAUGUGAUACAGCCUGAAUUCGAACCAGGGACUGUAGUGACGCCUCUUGCACUUUGAUGCAAGAUGCAAGUGCCACUCAGUCUGUCUGCAGGGGUGAAUGUAGUUGAAAAAAUGUCCAUCUCUCCUCAGCCAGGGGUGAAUGUAGUUGAAUAAAGUCCCAUCUCUCCUCAGCCAGGGGUGAAUGUAGUUGAAUAAAGUUCCAUCUCUCCUCAGCCAGGGGUGCAUGUAGUUGAAUAAAGUUCCAUCUCUCCUCAGCCAGGGGUGAAUGUAGUGAAUAAAGUUCCAUCUCUCCUCAGCCAGGGGUGCAUGUAGUUGAAUAAGUUCCAUCUCUCCUCAGCCAGGGGUGAAUGUAGUUGAAUAAAGUUCCAUCUCUCCCUCAGCCAGGGGUGCAUGUAGUUGAAUAAAGUCCCAUCUCUCCUCAGCCAGGGGUGCAUGUAGUUGAAUAAAGUCCCAUCUCUCCUCAACCAGGGGUGCCAGCAUUCACUGAGAGGCAUCCUACUAGGCCCAUGACUGUUCUACCGGACAGAGCAAAGAGACUGGGUGUCCCCUGUGGGUAUGUCCAGAUCUGGAGCAGUAUGAAGUUGGGGCUGACCCUCUGUGUCUGGGCCUGGCUGGACAACAGCAGCGCUGCAAUGCAUCACUUGCCCUGCAGCACAGCAAGACCUGGCUACACUGCUACCAACAGUCUGGUGUGUGUGGAUGUGUGUGCGUGUGUGUUAGAUUAUAACUCGCAAAGUAUGACAAUGUUAUUCUAGCUAGUGUGGGAACGUAUUUCUCAAAAUAACAGUACACAUUCCAAUUGUGAUGAGGUUCAGUGACUGUGUGCCUCUGCUUACUUGCAGAUGACCAGCUCACUACCCUAGUAGUGGAGAACAGGCUGGUCUCCCAGGCAGCAGCCUUUCAGCCCAGUACCAUCAUGGUCAAAGGUCAAUAGCAUAUUUUCACCCAUGGAAUGUCCAGAUAAAUAAAUGCCUGAAUGUACAAAAUAAAUAAUAAUCUAUCUCACCCUUCCCACACUUCUCCACUAAUUUCCCUCCGUCUCCUCUAUUGCCGGGGGAAGAGACCCUAUCCCUGUAAACUGGAGGUUACGGUUACUAUCCGAUCCCGCUAAGGGUGGUCCUUUCUCAGGAUUUUCUACAGUGGCCUAUAUUGGUCAAACGAUUGUCGAAAAUUGUAAGCUCUUAUAACUGUAGGAAAUAGUCGCAUUGCACCAAACAUCAGCACGCACCUGAGAUUGACGCUCACAUUGAUCUGAUACAAAAUUAUCAUCCAUACGUUUUACGGUAAGAUUUGAGUGUGUAUUUCUUUGAUAGACAGCCUACUCACUAUGUGGCUGUGUAUGACAGAUGCCCUGUGGUCAGAGUACUGCUGUUCAACACCACAUGGGAGAGGGACUGCUGACAUGCUAAAACUCCUAGUGGUGAGUACUACAGGUCUGGGAUCAGAUACACAGAUGCUGCUCUGUCCUGCUCUACUCUGCAGCUCUGGCCAUGAUCUGACUAUUGUACAGCACCCAAAGAAGCACAACACAGAUCAAACACUGAAAUAGACAAAAUAUCAAAUCUUCUCCCUUUGAUGUCCUUGCAGCUUUGCCAGUUUGAUUUGACUGUGUUUUGUCCCAACAUCACUGAAACAUCACUGAAACUGUUACAGAAAACAGGUGAGUUAUCUUCUCUCUCUGGGCUUCUCUGUCUGGGGUUUUAACAGACAAGUCGUGCAAAUAAAUGUUUAUUUACCUGAGCAAAAGUGCCACAAUAAAGAUAUGAUUACACAAGUUGGAAUAUCUGUUUUCUUGGCUGUGUAAAAUAACAUGCUACCACAUUCAUUGUCCAGCUGUGAAAAAUGUCAUAGAUGUGUGUGUGUGUAGUCCUUUACACUCUUUGUGUGCUCUGCUCUUUUACAGAUCAGCAGAAUUUCAAUGUGUUGGUGGAGAACAUGCUCACCCGUUGCCUGGACAACGAGAGCAGCUAGCAGAGCCUGAGUGGGAGAGAGAAGCAGCAGGGAUCUGAGUCAGAGCUGCUGAUACAGGACAAGUUCUCCUUACUGGCCAAGACCAGGAGACACACCCCUGCAUCCUCAGCGCCCUCCAGUGGAUCAGUCAGGGAAAGGACACUGUGCUGGCUACUGCAUGGAGCCACUAUCUCAAAUCAAAUCAAAUUGUAUUUGUCACAUGCGCCAAAUAUAACAGGUGUAGGUAGACCUUACUGUGAAAUGCUUACAUACAAGCCCUUAAGAAGCAAUUCAGUUUAAGAAAUAGAGUUUAGAAAAUAUUUACUAAAUUAACUAAAGUGAAAAAAAAAUGGGAAAAAAAAGUAACAGAAGAAGCUUAACAAUAACGAGGCUAUAUACAGGGGGUACCGGUACCGAGUCAAUGUGCCAGGGGUACAGGUUAGUCGAGGUCAUUUGUAAAGUGACUAUGCAUAGAUAAUAUACAGCGGGUAGCAGCUGUAAAUAGUCUGGGUGACUAAUUGUUCAGCAGUCUUCCAAGUACAACCCAGUGUCAUGGCUAAAACAGCACCACUAAGAGAGGCAGCCCACGUCUCUGGCCUGGUCACAGGUAGUCUACACUUAGUAUGAGUGACUCUGACAAAACUGGACCCCUCGCUCGAGUCCUAAGGGAUUAUUGGCACAGUGGUUUGGAUUCUGUUUGGAUCAGUAGUUAGUUUGGAUCCGUCUGGCUGUUUUUUAUGUAGGACAUUGAGAUACACUCAAUGUUUGACAGGUAUAAUAUCUGAGGUGUUUACAGCUAAGGGUCAUCUUGAAUAGAGGUGUGCUCCUUGUCCAGUGCGCUGUACUCAAGUUGCUCUGUCAGUGCAGGAUCCUUGAGCUUUUAUACUAUGAAGUUAUGCUGUUGGCCUACUGUCAGCAAGUAAUAUUUAUUUCUGAUAGAACUUGAAGUUUAUUGAUUUUCUCAGGGUGAUUAAAUUAUGUUUGAGUUGGAUUGUAUUUUCUCUUAGAAUUAUUGUUUUGACUAAUGUAAAUAAUGAAAAUGAAAGUACAAAUGGUUUCUAAAUAGUUUAUUUAAAAAUGUUAUUAAUUGUGAGUAAAGAUUUAUUUUCAUGUUCAAUUGUACCCUUGCCUAGCACUGACUGUUCAUACGUACAGACUGACACAUAUUCCCUGACCUUUGCUAGAGUUGCCCUGAAACAGAACAACAUGCCUGUCUGUCUCUGUCUGCAUGCCCCCUCAGUGAAUGAAUUCCCUGUAAUGUCUUAGGUAAACUUACAGACAGACACAAUCUUAAAAGCUAAAUGGAAU